GCAGUGGUGGUUCAGUGGUAGAAUUCUCGCCUUUGCUGCAGGAGACCCAGGUUCGAUUCCUGGCCAAUGCA